rnacentral:rRNA from 1 species
CCUACGGGAGGCAGCAGUGGGGAAUAUUGGGCAAUGGGCGCAAGCCUGACCCAGCAACGCCGCGUGAAGGAAGAAGGCUUUCGGGUUGUAAACUUCUUUUCUCAGGGACGAAGAAAGUGACGGUACCUGAGGAAUAAGCCACGGCUAACUACGUGCCAGCAGCCGCGGUAAUACGUAGGUGGCAAGCGUUAUCCGGAUUUAUUGGGUGUAAAGGGCGUGUAGGCGGGAGCGCAAGUCAGAUGUGAAAACUCAGGGCUCAACCCUGAGCCUGCAUUUGAAACUGUGUUUCUUGAGUGCUGGGGAGGCAAUCGCAAUUCCGUGUGUAGCGGUGAAAUGCGUAGAUAUACGGAGGAACACCAGUGGCGAAGGCGGAUUGCUGGACAGUAACUGACGCUGAGGCGCGAAAGCGUGGGGAGCAAACAGGAUUAGAUACCCUUGUAGUC